rnacentral:rRNA from 1 species
ACUCAAAGGAAUUGACGGGGACCCGCACAAGCAGCGGAGCAUGUGGUUUAAUUCGAAGCAACGCGAAGAACCUUACCAGGGCUUGACAUGCCCCUGACCGCUCUAGAGAUAGGGCCUUCCCUUCGGGGACAGGGGACACAGGUGGUGCAUGGUUGUCGUCAGCUCGUGUCGUGAGAUGUUGGGUUAAGUCCCGUAACGAGCGCAACCCUUGUCUUUAGUUGCUAACAGGUUAAGCUGAGCACUCUAGAGAGACUGCCGAUGACAAAUCGGAGGAAGGUGGGGAUGACGUCAAAUCAUCAUGCCCUUUAUGUCCUGGGCUACACACGUGCUACAAUGGUCGGUACAACGAGCAGCUACACAGCGAUGUGAUGCUAAUCUCUUAAAGCCGAUCUCAGUUCGGAUUGCAGGCUGCAACUCGCCUGCAUGAAGUCGGAGUUGCUAGUAAUCGCGAAUCAGCAUGUCGCGGUGAAUGCGUUCCCGGGUCUUGUACACACCGCCCGU